GAUGAAGAACGUAGCGAAAUGCGAUAAGUAAUGUGAAUUGCAGAAUUCAGUGAAUCAUCGAAUCUUUGAACGCACAUUGCGCCCGCCGGCACUCCGGCGGGCAUGCCUGUCCGAGCGUCAUUUCAACCCUCAGGACCCCCUUUCGGGGGGGAGCUGGUGCUGGGGAUCAGCGGCCUCCGGGCCCCUGUCCCCCAAAUUGAGUGGCGGUCGCGCCGCAGCCUCCCCUGCGUAGUAGCACACCUCGCACCGGAGAGCGGCUCGGCCACGCCGUGAAACCCCCAAUUUUUUAAGGUUGACCUCGGAUCAGGUAGGAAUACCCGCUGAACUUAAGCAUAUCAAUAAGCGGAGGA
rnacentral:misc_RNA from 1 species